rnacentral:misc_RNA from 1 species
AAAAGGGAAUAAAAAAUAGUUCCCAAGUAUUUGAGCACUCUUCUUAAAUACAUUAUCACUUUCUUAAUAAUGGUAAAGAUGUCAAGUUAGACUGUUAGACUAGACAUUUCAUUCAAACCUAUCUACGGAUACAUAGCAACCAAGAAUGACAAUCAAUCUUCGUAAGAAAUAUGUAUAAAUAUGUACAAAACCAUAAAAAACUAUCAACAUCGGUAACUGGGGCAAACACACCACAGUACUAAUGCUAAACAGUACAGAAUAGAAGCUAGGAAAACCCAAACUAAGGUCAAAGAAGCAAAAGCAAUAGCAACAACUUAGUUUUAAACUGUUAUGACAAACUGAAAAUCAGGUUUGCCAUUUUGCUAAAUGAAAAGUAUAAUUAAAAGAAUUUCAUUCCACACAAGUAUACUUCUG